UGGGGAAUAUUGGACAAUGGGCGCAAGCCUGAUCCAGCCAUGCCGCGUGGGUGAAGAAGGCCCUAGGGUUGUAAAUCCCUUUCAGCGGGGAAGAUAAUGACGGUACCCGCAGAAGAAGCCCCGGCUAACUCCGUGCCAGCAGCCGCGGUAAUACGGAGGGGGCUAGCGUUGUUCGGAAUUACUGGGCGUAAAGCGCGCGUAGGUGGCUUGAUAAGCCGGUUGUGAAAGCCCCGGGCUCAACCUGGGAACGGCAUCCGGAACUGUCAGGCUAGAGUGCAGGAGAGGAAGGUAGAAUUCCCGGUGUAGCGGUGAAAUGCGUAGAGAUCGGGAGGAAUACCAGUGGCGAAGGCGGCCUUCUGGACUGACACUGACACUGAGGUGCGAAAGCGUGGGUAGCAAACAGGAUUAGAUACCCCCGUAGUCC
rnacentral:rRNA from 1 species